ACAUGUUGAGGUCUUUGAGAAAGGGCUCAUGUGGCCAAGGUAUUGGGCUGUGAAGGGGACAAAGAUUAGAGGUGUCAAGGACUAAGCCCAUUGGAAGUGGUUGCAUUUGGUGCCAUGAGAGACCCUUUAUGCCAAACCUCCAUCUAAAUCAGUGUUACCUUCCUCCGGUCUCUGACUUUGCAAAUAUUGUUGCUGCUUGAGCCCUUGAUGAAAAGGGUUAGUAUUGAGCAACACCACUCAUUCUUGCUGUGCCUUCCAGGGACAAGAGAGACUUGUCAUGGUUGGUUAGAAAAGUGCCAUUAAAGGGGGGCAGGACUUGAAAGUCCAGCAAGGCAUGGAGGAGGAGUGUCUGGGGGUGAAGGAGAGUAAAUAGGGAGUCAUUUGAAACUCAAGAGUCGCUGCCUUAUGCUCAUCAACACCACUAUCCAGGGAAACCUGUUCCAGGAUGACAGAUGUGACAGACCUUUAAAAUCCACCAGCAGCUGAGCUCCUCUUGGCUACUCUGACUGAAGAUGGGAAAAGAAUUGGGGUGCUGUGCCAUACAUAUGCGAUGUAAUUGGGUCUCCAUAUUUGUAGGGUGGUUUGUUGUUGGGAUUCAUGAUGAUGCUGUCUCUGUCGUGACAUCCUGUGUGCUCUAGCAAAGUGUCAGAAACUCUUAAAAGCACUUCAGGCCCACUAGAAAAUAAAAUAGUCCUGAACUUAUUGUAGUCAAAGGUGUCUUUUUCCAGACAAAUGCCAGGCUGCUUCUGCAUGGUCUGAAGCAAGUGUGAGUUGCUGUCACUGCAGCUACACUGUAAGUAUCAGACUGCUGAAUCUGUUCAGCAACAGGAGCCAGUGCUUUCUGAGCUGUGGGUGGUGAAGGAUGCAGUUUGGAUUGAGUGUGGCUGCAGUUCUCCCAUGUGCUCUGCUGGCCUUCAUGAAGCCCUGCACACCCCCUCGAAUGUUUCCUGUGUGCCUCUUGGCCCGGAGGGACCGGAAUCUCCCGAUCUCUGCAGCGCUUCGUGCUUGUUUUGGGUCAGCAGAGGUAACGUGUCUGUUGAAUGGGUAAGGAUUUAAAAUACCACUUUCCUGGGUUUUGGGGUGGGUGUGACCUGCAGGUCCUUAUGGCUGAAAUGUGCAGACUCUGCCUGUUUUCAGAAGCAGCUCAGAUACUGCAGCUUUUGAAGAAAACAAAUUACCAUUUAUUGGCAACUCACCACAGUUCUGGAGGUAGCUGGACCAUUUGAGGAGGAAGGAUAGCCAAGCUGCUCCUGAAAGGAGGACCUGGAAUCUGGCCUGGGAUGGGAAUGGCUGCAGCUGGUAAGAUUUUGGUAGGCCUGAGGGCACUUGGAAAAACUCCACCUGAGAGCAUGGAGCUAGUGGAAGAGCAUGAAGGAAACAGUAAGGGAUGGUCUUGUCUGAGCCUCCAUCUCCCUCCAGGAGUCAUGUUCAGGCCUACUUGGCUUUAUCGCAGAGUCAUAGAAUCAUUAAUGUUGGAAGAGACCUACAAAGGUCAUCCAGUCCAACCAUCCACCCAGCACUACCAUUGUAACCCCUAAAACCACGUCACCCAGCGCCAGAACCAGGUGCCUCUUGAGCACCUUCAGGGAUGGUGACUCUACCACCUCCCUGUGCAACUUAUUCCAAUGCCUGACCGCUGGAACAGUGAAACAAUUUUUUUCUAAUAUCCCAUUUGAAUUUCCCAUCUCAGCUUAAGGCCAUUUCCUCUGGUGGUCUCACGGCAGAACAGACCGGCCCCCCCCUCACCCCAGCCUCAUGUCAGGGGUUGUGGAGGGCGAUGAGGUCCCCCCCGAGACUCCCCCACAGCAAACCAACCCAGCUCCCUCAGCCCUUCCUCAUAAGACUCGUUUUUCUAGACUUUUCCCGAGCCUUGUUGCCCUUCCCUGGACGUGCUCCAGUUUGAAAAGAGUGAACAGGCCUUCCCUUCCCUUCCUGUGGAGUCAAGGCUACCACAUGAUACAAACGUGAUUGUUUUAUCUGGGGUUUUUUGAGGGGAAUUAGCUGUGGC